AGAACGAACGCUGGCGGCGUGCUUAACACAUGCAAGUCGAACGCGAAAGGGACUUCGGUCCUGAGUAAAGUGGCGCACGGGUGAGUAACGCGUAGAUAACCUGUCUUCAUGUCUGGAAUAAUACGCCGAAAGGGGUACUAAUACCGGAUAUUCUUGCUUUUCAUAAGUUAUGCAAGCAAAGGUGGCCUCUGCAUACGCUACUGCAUGAAGAGGGGUCUGCGUACCAUUAGCUAGUAGGUGGGGUAAUGGCCUACCUAGGCGACGAUGGUUAGCGGGUCUGAGAGGAUGAUCCGCCACACUGGCACUGGAACACGGGCCAGACUCCUACGGGAGGCAGCAGUGAGGAAUAUUGCGCAAUGGGGGAAACCCUGACGCAGCGACGCCGCGUGAAGUGAGGAAGGCCUUCGGGUCGUAAAGCUCUGUCAAGAGGAAAGAAGUGUACAAUGGCUAAUACCUGUUGUAUUUGACGGUACCUCUAAAGGAAGCACCGGCUAACUCCGUGCCAGCAGCCGC
rnacentral:rRNA from 1 species